rnacentral:piRNA from 1 species
GGGGAUAGUAUUGGGUAAAGCACUAAACA